rnacentral:rRNA from 1 species
UGGCCAUCAACAGAGAGAAGCAAUACCGCGAGGUGGAGCAAAACUUCAAAAAUGGUCUCAGUUCGGACUGUAGGCUGCAACUCGCCUACACGAAGUUGGAAUUGCUAGUAAUCGUGGAUCAGCAUGCCACGGUGAAUACGUUCCCGGGUCUUGUACACACCGCCCGUCACACCAUGGGAGCCGGGAACACCCGAAGUCCGUAGUCUAACCGCAAGGGGGGCGCGGCCGAAGGUGGGUCCGGUAAUUGGGGUGAAGUCGUAACAAGGUAAC